rnacentral:rRNA from 1 species
UCGGGAAUCUUGCACAAUGGGCGAAAGCCUGAUGCAGCAACGCCGUGUGAGCGAGGAAGGUCUUCGGAUCGUAAAGCUCUGUUGUUGGGGACGAAGGGCGAAGGGUUAAUAGCCCCUAGCCUGACGGUACCCUUCGAGGAAGCCCCGGCUAACUACGUGCCAGCAGCCGCGGUAAUACGUAGGGGGCGAGCGUUGUCCGGAAUUAUUGGGCGUAAAGAGCGUGUAGGCGGCCUGGUAAGUCUGCCGUGAAAACUCGGGGCUCAACCCUGAGCGUGGGGUGGAUACUGCCAGGCUAGAGGAUGGUAGAGGCGAGUGGAAUUCCCGGUGUAGCGGUGAAAUGCGCAGAUAUCGGGAGGAACACCAGUAGCGAAGGCGGCUUCCUGGGCCAAUACUGACACUGAGGUGCGAAAGCGUGGGGAGCAAACAGGAUUAGAUACCCCCGUAGUCC